GCGCAAGUCAUCAGCAACGUUUUCAUUAAUCAAGAACGAAAGUUAGGGGAUCGAAGAUGAUCAGAUACCGUCGUAGUCUUAACCAUAAACUAUGCCGACUAGGGAUCGGGCGUUGUUCUUUUUAUGACUCGCUCGGCACCUUACGAGAAAUCAAAGUUUUUGGGUUCUGGGGGGAGUAUGGUCGCAAGGCUGAAACUUAAAGGAAUUGACGGAAGGGCACCACCAGGAGUGGAGCCUGCGGCUUAAUUUGACUCAACACGGGAAAUCUCACCAGGUCCAGACACAAUAAGGAUUGACAGAUUGAGAGCUCUUUCUUGAUUUUGUGGGUGGUGGUGCAUGGCCGUUCUUAGUUGGUGGAGUGAUUUGUCUGCUUAAUUGCGAUAACGAACGAGACCUUAACCUACUAAAUAGUGCUGCUAGCUUCGGCUGAACUGCUGCUUCUUAGAGGGACUAUCUAUUUCAAGUCGAUGGAAGUUUGAGGCAAUAACAGGUCUGUGAUGCCCUUAGACGUUCUGGGCCGCACGCGCGCUACACUGACGGAGCCAGCAAGUACUAUCCUUGACCGAAAGGUCCGGGUAAUCUCGUGAAACUCCGUCGUGCUGGGGAUAGAGCAUUGAAAUUAUUGCUCUUCAACGAGGAAUUCCUAG
rnacentral:rRNA from 1 species